rnacentral:rRNA from 1 species
GGUAUCAGGCACAACAUUUGCCCACAACACCUAGUCUUACCACACCCACAAGGGUAUUCAGCAGUGAUAAAUAUUGUUUAUAAGCGACAGCUUGACUCAGUUAAAGAAAGUAGAGCCGGCCAACUCGGUGCCAGCCGCCGCGGCUAAACCGCACGGGCUCAAAUUGAUAAUAAUCGGCGUUAAGCGUGAUUAAAGUUCUUCAAUAAUUAGAAUAAAAUCCACACUUAGCUGUGAAAAGCUUGAUGUGAGAGAAGAUCAAAAACGAAAGUUAUUCUAAUCAAUUACUUGAAUACACGACAGCUAGAAAACAAACUGGGAUUAGAUACCCCACUAUAC